rnacentral:rRNA from 1 species
CCUACGGGAGGCAGCAGUGGGGAAUCUUGCGCAAUGGGCGAAAGCCUGACGCAGCCAUGCCGCGUGUAUGAUGAAGGUCUUAGGAUUGUAAAAUACUUUCACCGGUGAAGAUAAUGACUGUAGCCGGAGAAGAAGCCCCGGCUAACUUCGUGCCAGCAGCCGCGGUAAUACGAAGGGGGCUAGCGUUGCUCGGAAUUACUGGGCGUAAAGGGAGCGUAGGCGGACAUUUAAGUCAGAGGUGAAAUCCCGGAGCUUAACUUCGGAACUGCCUUUGAUACUGGGUGUCUUGAGUGUGAGAGAGGUAUGUGGAACUCCGAGUGUAGAGGUGAAAUUCGUAGAUAUUCGGAAGAACACCAGUGGCGAAGGCGACAUACUGGCUCAUUACUGACGCUGAGGCUCGAAAGCGUGGGGAGCAAACAGGAUUAGAUACCCUGGUAGUCCACGCCGUAAACGAUGAUUGCUAGUUGUCGGGAAGCUUGCUUCUCGGUGACGCNGCUACGCAUAGACAUCCGCCGUCGGGAGGUACGGUACGCGAGAUUAAACUUAAAUAGAGUAGACGCGNGAGACGNGCGAGCGACGACGAGGGAGAG